rnacentral:rRNA from 1 species
CCAUCAGAACUCCGCAGUUAAAUGUGUUUAGGCAAGAGUCAUACUGAGAUGGGUGACCUCCUGGGAAGUUCUCGUGUUGUACUCCUUUU